rnacentral:rRNA from 1 species
CAGUAGCCGCGGUAAUACGGAGGAUCCAAGCGUUAUCCGGAAUCAUUGGGUUUAAAGGGUCCGUAGGCGGUCUUGUAAGUCAGUGGUGAAAGCCCAUCGCUCAACGGUGGAACGGCCAUUGAUACUGCAGGACUUGAAUUAUUGGGAAGUAACUAGAAUAUGUAGUGUAGCGGUGAAAUGCUUAGAGAUUACAUGGAAUACCAAUUGCGAAGGCAGGUUACUACCAAUUGAUUGACGCUGAUGGACGAAAGCGUGGGUAGCGAACAGGAUUAGAUACCCCGGUAGUCCCUGUCUCUUAUAU